rnacentral:rRNA from 1 species
UAAGGAAUAUUGGACAAUGGGCGGAAGCCUGAACCAGCCAUGCCGCGUGCAGGAAGACGGCCCUACGGGUUGUAAACUGCUUUUGUACGGGAAUAAACCUCGGUAUGUAUACCGAGUUGAAUGUACUGUAAGAAUAAGGAUCGGCUAACUCCGUGCCAGCAGCCGCGGUAAUACGGAGGAUCCAAGCGUUAUCCGGAUUUAUUGGGUUUAAAGGGUGCGUAGGCGGCUUAUUAAGUCAGGGGUGAAAGACGGUAGCUUAACUAUCGCAGUGCCUUUGAUACUGAUGAGCUUGAAUGUACUUGAGGUAGGCGGAAUGUGACAAGUAGCGGUGAAAUGCAUAGAUAUGUCACAGAACACCAAUUGCGAAGGCAGCUUACUAAAGUAUGAUUGACGCUGAGGCACGAAAGCGUGGGGAUCAAACAGGAUUAGAUACCCGCGUAGUCC